rnacentral:rRNA from 1 species
GACGAACGCUGGCGGCGUGCUUAACACAUGCAAGUCGAACGGAAAGGCCCUGCUUUUGUGGGGUGCUCGAGUGGCGAACGGGUGAGUAACACGUGAGUAACCUGCCCUUGACUUUGGGAUAACUUCAGGAAACUGGGGCUAAUACCGGAUAGGAGCUCCUGCUGCAUGGUGGGGGUUGGAAAGUUUCGGCGGUUGGGGAUGGACUCGCGGCUUAUCAGCUUGUUGGUGGGGUAGUGGCUUACCAAGGCUUUGACGGGUAGCCGGCCUGAGAGGGUGACCGGCCACAUUAGGACUGAGAUACGGCCCAGACUCCUACGGGAGGCAGCAGUGGGGAAUAUUGCACAAUGGGCGGAAGCCUGAUGCAGCAACGCCGCGUGCGGGAUGACGGCCUUCGGGUUGUAAACCGCUUUCGCAGGUGACGAAGCGUGAGUGACGGUAAUGGGUAAAGAAGCAACGGCUAACUACGUG